rnacentral:rRNA from 1 species
UACGAAGGGGGCUAGCGUUGCUCGGAAUCACUGGGCGUAAAGGGUGCGUAGGCGGGUCUUUAAGUCAGGGGUGAAAUCCUGGAGCUCAACUCCAGAACUGCCUUUGAUACUGGCAAUCUCGAGUCCGGAAGAGGUAAGUGGAACUGCGAGUGUAGAGGUGAAAUUCGUAGAUAUUCGCAAGAACACCAGUGGCGAAGGCGGCUUACUGGUCCGGUACUGACGCUGAGGUGCGAAAGCGUGGGGAGCGAACAGG